GAUGAACGCUGGCGGCGUGCCUAAUACAUGCAAGUCGAACGCUGGAAAUCUAGCUUGCUAGAUUGAAGGAGUGGCGAACGGGUGAGUAAUACAUAAGCAACCUACCCACGAAGACUGGGAUAAUCUCUGGAAACGGGGACUAAUACCGGAUAGGUAAUCGGAAGGCAUCUUCUGAUUAUUAAAGGUUAAAAACACUGGUGGAUGGGCUUAUGGCGCAUUAGUUAGUUGGUGAGGUAACGGCCCACCAAGACGAUGAUGCAUAGCCGGCCUGAGAGGGUGAACGGCCACAUUGGGACUGAGACACGGCCCAGACUCCUACGGGAGGCAGCAGUAGGGAAUUUUCGGCAAUGGGGGAAACCCUGACCGAGCAACGCCGCGUGAGUGAUGACGGCCUUCGGGUUGUAAAGCUCUGUUGUAAGGGAAGAACGGUAGAUAGAGAAUAUCUAAAUGACGGUACCUUACCAGAAAGCCACGGCUAACUACGUG
rnacentral:rRNA from 1 species